GGGUUAGUAGGUUGGUCGUGCCACUGGUACGUACUGGUCUCACUGAUUCCUCCUUCCUGAUGAACUGUAAUGCCAUUUAUUUGGUGUUGCAGGGAAACUGGACUGUUACUUUGAAAAAAUUAGUGUUUAAAGCAAGCUAACGCUUGAAUACAUUAGCAUGGAAUAAUGAAAUAGGACGUUCGAUCCUACUUUGUUGGUUUCUAGGAUUGACGUA
rnacentral:rRNA from 1 species